AUUGAACGCUGGCGGCACGCCUAACACAUGCAAGUCGAGCGGCAGCGCGAUAUGUAGCAAUACAUAUUGGCGGCGAGCGGCGGACGGGUGAGGAACACGUAGGAACCUACCCUCGAGUGGGGGAUAACCAAGGGAAACUUUGGCUAAUACCGCAUGAACUCGAGAGAGCAAAGCUGCCGCAAGGUGGCGCUCGAGGAGGGGCCUGCGUCCGAUUAGCUAGUUGGUGAGGUAAGAGCUCACCAAGGCGAUGAUCGGUAACUGGUCUGAGAGGACGACCAGUCACACUGGGACUGAGACACGGCCCAGACUCCUACGGGAGGCAGCAGUGGGGAAUACUGGACAAUGGGGGCAACCCUGAUCCAGCGAUGCCGCGUGAGUGAAGAAGGCCUUCGGGUCGUAAAGCUCUUUAGGUUGGGAAGAAGGGUGAUGGAGGAAAUGCUAUCACUUUGACGGUACCGACAGAAUAAGCACCGGCAAACUCUGUGCCAGCAGCCGCAGUAACAC
rnacentral:rRNA from 1 species